rnacentral:tRNA from 1 species
GGCCGAUUAGCUCAGUGGUGUGAGCGUGGUUCUGACAACAAUGACCAACACUGAGGUCGUAGGUUCGAUUCCUGCUCGGUCC